CUUUUUUUUCAAGUUCACGCGUUGUACUGGAGAUUACUGUAAGACACAAGCAGAGAGGAUGAUGUGGUAGUCAAGUUCUUCGUGGAAACCUUGCCUUGGUUGAUCUUACGGGCAGUGAGCAAGCCUCUCAAAUGAAUAAUUUUGGCCAAAAGCUCAAUUCGAUCUUGUUGUUCUGUGGCUCAAAGGUUGUUGACUACCGUUGGCACUGCCCAGUUAAGUCUAUCAGGUUCCACUGAUCAUAUAUUUCUUUGGGGGCAUUUUAGGCUCCUUUCAAGGAAGAACGGUUAAAAUGGGAUUAGGACGAUCUUCGAAAGCGCUAACAGGCCAGUAAACUCUGGUAUAAUGAACUGGUCACACAAGUUCCUGAGUCAGCGUUUGUUAGAAGGUUUUGGUUCCUCAAGGUCGGGCCUGCACCCUCGCACACAUCUGCACCUCCGUGGACUGCAACUCCACCCAGGCCGCUGCUACAGGUCACCACUAUCAUAGGGCAGGACAAGGUCUUUGCAGUAGCUUGGAUGUGUCAUCGAUCUCCCGAGCGCGAUUCCAUGACUAGCUUGUGGUGGUGGGUAAUUUACUGCAACUCUGCCUGCUCAUAUCUGGAGUAUGAUAAGAAUUUGGUGAUUUUGUGCAGUACUUUAGCUUGCUGUAGACUUGUAGAUAUAUGUAGAGAAAGCAAGUAGGGCAUGUGAUUUUUGUAGCUUUUAUUAUGAUACAUCUUUUAAACAUGUGCUUUGUUGUACUUAUUAUUAGCAACAGUAGCAAGAACGGUUGCUGAUCUCUGUUGGACACACCCGGAUGGAGAUUUCAAUAUUUGCAUCAGAUAUUUGUAUUUAUUUUAAUUCUACUUGCUCUGAUUAAAAUAGAAAAUACCAUCGUUAUCUUAUACAUUGUUCUGUUAGGAUUGCAUACAACAAGACACGUGCCCAUUUCCGCUAUUGUACCCUUGAAUAAAAUGGUAAAUACUGCAGUUAUCAUAUACAAUCUCUCGGGAGUGAAUACCACAAGCGCAUUUUUGUUAAUAUCUCCUGCUUCCUGAUGUAUUUGUUUCUUGGUAAAAGCGAACUUCCAAUGAAUAUUUUUGUGCUGGAGCAGGCUACAAGGUAUGUAUUCGGCUGUGCAUAUUUAAUUUUAGUAUCUGGUGGAGAUGCCCUGUUCAAGGAGAGGGAGGGUGUGUAAACUUUGUGAAAUCCUUUCCUGUUGAUGACUUUGCAAACUUAUCAGGAGGCGGUGUUAAGAAAUCUAAACAGUUUAUGAACUAUAUAGGAAGACAUUUAUAGGUUAGAAAUAGUCAGUUCUACUUAUGCAGAUUAUCUAGAUAAGUGAUGAAGUUUAGUUAGUAUUUUUUUCCCUGUCACUUCUUUAUCUAGCAACCAUGGUAUGAGCCACUGUUGCAAGCAUUAUCAUUAUGUUCUGAGGGAAACAUCAACUUUCCAAAGACAAUAUCCCAAACUGGACAGUUGAUACAUGGAACCAUUUUACUUUAACAUUUAAAGUAUGGCUGCAAAUCUGGGAUCCAGGAGGUUAAAAUUCAUUGUCUACUCAGUUUCUCAGUUUCUCAGUUUUCCUCUUUCAGAAGCAAGAGAUUUUUCAAGACCUUGCUCCAUUGCUGUGGCACUCCUUUGGCAUCGUUGCUGCACUGCUCCAGGAGAUUGUGUCAAUCUACCCUUCACUUUCAUCUCCUACUUUGUUGCCAGUUGCAUCAAACCGUGUCUGCAAUGCACUUGCACUUCUUCAGUGUGUUGCUUCACACCCUGAGACCAGGAUCUCGUUCUUGAAUGCUCACAUCCCACUGUACCUGUUCCUAAAUACUACCAGCAAGACCAGACCUUUUGAGUACUUGAGGCUUACCAGCUUGGGUGUUGUUGGUGCUCUUGUGAAGGUUGACGAUUCUGAAGUUAUUGGACACAAGCAGCUGCUUGAAAGGACAUCUAGAAAAAAGGGUUCCGAUAUUACACCAGAACUUUAGCUUUCUCGGGCAUGUGACGAUGGCUUCCAUGGAAAAAAUCAUCAAAGUGACUGUCGAUGACCUUCAGGUAUAUCAACGUCAAAUGACAAAAGAAUGCCUCCAGAAAGUUUGUUCAUCAGGCACAAGCGAAUGAUAAAUUGCAGGAUCAAUGGAAUUCUCUUUCGACAGAAGAUCUACAUGAUCUUUUUACUCUUCAUGAACAAGUCAGUGCGAGAGAAAGUUGCAUGCUAUAUGAGUGUUAAACGCCAUCGAGCGAUCUGAACAGAGCCGUGGCUCGAGUCGUUUUCGCUGUCCUGAUCCAUGGGUCAGGAUUGAUGCUUUCCGGUAACUCCGACAGUAGCCGAGUAAACGCAAGCAUGGGUCGCUGGGAGCAGCUGUCUCCUACCUCUCGAGCCUGGAUCCAUCUUUUAUCGAGAGCGACAGCCUCGGCGAGCCACCGUCUGUGAGAAGGGACCUGCGGAUACCCGUGAAGAUGGGGUUCCUGCUGCAGCCGAUUAACAGACGCACCAUGAGGAAAGCAGUGUCGACGGCCAAAUCUGUGCGGCAGAAGUGGGGGUAGAGGCAGCGAUUGGGGAUUCCGCUCACUCAUCUGAUUAAUCCAUAGAACAGAUCGAUCCCAAAUUGCCUGGAUAGACUAGAAGGUAUUCAUGUGGUAUAACUAUCACGUGCCUGAUCAUAUUCCUGUGGUACCCUGCAACUCAUGUGCUUGUGUUGAACAUUACAUGUGCUUAAGAUUUAUUAAACCAUGGAAUAGAUAUGGAAAAUUAGCAUAGAACUAUAGAUACUGUUUAGGCCUUGUGUACUUAUGUUCAGAUUGAAAAAUUCAUGUAUCAUGUCCUUCUGUAAGAAACUUUCUAAUCCAAAUGAUUGGAGUGCUAUCGUUUGGCCAUACAAAAGCAUAGAGGAAUUGUAAGUAAUGUGGUCGAUGCUCGAUAGUAUCAGGUUCGUGUGA